rnacentral:lncRNA from 1 species
UUGGAUUGAUAUGUCUAAGAAUAUCUAAAUUAUUUUAUUAUUGUAUUGUCAAAUCCACUUAAAAUUGGUUAAAAAAUGUGAGAAUCUUUGAAUUAUUUUUUAUUGUGUAUUGUCAAAUCUUGUUACAAAGUCGACAAUAGAUUGAGAAGUGAGAGAACUUUUAAAAUUUGGAGUGGUAUACAUCUAUAAAUAAUGCUAUGCCCUUUUAUUUUUAUUCACAACCAUUGAAUUCCAUUAAGCUUUAUACUCAUCCAGAAACAAAAUGCCACUUCGUUCUUGUGGAUAUAAUCCAGAAGAAGAUAAAUUAUUAUGUCUA